UGCCGGUAGUCAUAUGCUUGUCUCAAAGAUUAAGCCAUGCAAGUCUAAGUACGAGGUCUCAUACAGGGAAACUGCGAAUGGCUCAUGAAAUCAGUUAUGGUUCAUUUGAUGGUACAGUUUACACAGAUAACUGUGGUAAUUCUAGAGCUAAUACAUGCGAGAAGCGCCGACCUCGCGGGAGGCGUGCAUUUAUCAGACCAAAAACCGGCCGCGUCUUCGGGCGCGUUCGCCUUGGUGACUCUGGAUAACUUUGCGGAUCGCACGGUCUAGCACCGGCGACGGAUCAUUCAAGUGUCUGCCCUAUCAACUUUCGUCGGUACGGUAUUUGCCUACCGAGGUUCUUACGGGUGACGGGGAAUCAGGGUUCGAUUCCGGAGAGGGAGCCUGAGAAACGGCUACCACAUCCAAGGAAGGCAGCAGGCGCGCAAAUUACCCAUUCCCGACGCGGGGAGGUAGUGACGAAAAAUAACAAUGCAGGACUCGUUCGAGGCCCUGUAAUUGGAAUGAGUACACUUUAAAAGCUUUAACGAGUAUCCAUUGGAGGGCAAGUCUGGUGCCAGCAGCCGCGGUAAUUCCAGCUCCAAAAGUAUAUAUUUAAGUUGUUGCGGUUAAAAAGCUCGUAGUUGGAUUUUGGGCGCAGGCGGCCGGUCCGUCGCAAGGCGUGUACUGGACGUCCUGGCCUUCCCUCCGGUUCUCCGCCGGUGCUCUUGACUGAGUGUCGGCGGCGGCCGGAACGUUUACUUUGAAAAAAUUAGAGUGUUCAAAGCAGGCUCUCGAGCCUGGAUAAUGGUGCAUGGAAUAAUGGA
rnacentral:ncRNA from 1 species